UUAGAGAGAGAAAGAGGGAGAGAAAAGAAAGGAUCUUGGUAUUUGAUGAGCUGAUCGAGACCGCGCGCACGUGUGAUUUUUCCAGUCGUUUCAAUAGCGAAGUUGGUAUUAUAGUAAUAUUGUUUUCUCGUUGGGAUUUCUAUGAUAAGAUUUUGUCAGUAGCUUCUAGGACAGGUGAUUUUGAUGGAAUUUUAAAGGAGUUGAGAUUUAGAAAUGGAUUUAUAUGUGAUUUAGAAG
rnacentral:lncRNA from 1 species